rnacentral:rRNA from 1 species
AUUGAACGCUGGCGGCAUGCCUUACACAUGCAAGUCGAACGGCAGCACGGGAGCAAUCCUGGUGGCGAGUGGCGAACGGGUGAGUAAAGUAUCGGAACGUGCCCAGUCGUGGGGGAUAACGUAGCGAAAGUUACGCUAAUACCGCAUACGAUCCAUGGAUGAAAGCGGGGGAUCGCAAGACCUCGCGCGAUUGGAGCUGCCGAUAUCAGAUUAGGUAGUUGGUGGGGUAAAGGCUCACCAAGCCGACGAUCUGUAGCUGGUCUGAGAGGACGACCAGCCACACUGGGACUGAGACACGGCCCAGACUCCUACGGGAGGCAGCAGUGGGGAAUUUUGGACAAUGGGCGAAAGCCUGAUCCAGCCAUGCCGCGUGCAGGAUGAAGGCCUUCGGGUUGUAAACUGCUUUUGUACGGAACGAAAAGGUUUGGCCUAAUAAGCUGAGCUCAUGACGGUACCGUAAGAAUAAGCACCGGCUAACUACGUGCCAGCAGCCGCGGUAA